CUACGGGGGGCAGCAGUGGGGAAUAUUGCACAAUGGAGGGAACUCUGAUGCAGCAACGCCGCGUGGAGGAUGACACAUUUCGGUGCGUAAACUCCUUUUAUAUAAGAAGAUAAUGACGGUAUUAUAUGAAUAAGCACCGGCUAACUCCGUGCCAGCAGCCGCGGUAAUACGGGGGGUGCAAGCGUUACUCGGAAUCACUGGGCGUAAAGAGCAUGUAGGCUGGUUUGUAAGUUGGAAGUGAAAUCCUAUGGCUUAACCAUAGAACUGCUUCCAAAACUACUUACCUAGAGUAUGGGAGAGGUAGAUGGAAUUUCUGGUGUAGGGGUAAAAUCCGUAGAGAUCAGAAGGAAUACCGAUUGCGAAGGCGAUCUACUGGAACAUUACUGACGCUCAGAUGCGAAAGCGUGGGGAGCAAACAGGAUUAGAUACCCGUGUAGUC
rnacentral:rRNA from 1 species